rnacentral:rRNA from 1 species
GACGAACGCUGGCGGCGUGCUUAACACAUGCAAGUCGAACGGAAAGGCCCUGCUUUUGUGGGGUGCUCGAGUGGCGAACGGGUGAGUAACACGUGAGUAACCUGCCCUUGACUUUGGGAUAACUUCAGGAAACUGGGGCUAAUACCGGAUAGGAGCUCCUGCUGCAUGGUGGGGGUUGGAAAGUUUCGGCGGUUGGGGAUGGACUCGCGGCUUAUCAGCUUGUUGGUGGGGUAGUGGCUUACCAAGGCUUUGACGGGUAGCCGGCCUGAGAGGGUGACCGGCCACAUUGGGACUGAGAGACGGCCCAGACUGCUACGGGAGGCAGCAGUGGGGAAUAUUGCACAAUGGGCGGAAGCCUGAUGCAGCAACGCCGCGUGCGGGAUGACGGCCUUCGGGUGGUAAACCGCUUUCGCCUGUGACGAAGCGUGAGUGACGGUAAUGGGUAAAGAAGCACCGGCUAACUACGUG